GACGAACGCUGGCGGCGUGCUUAACACAUGCAAGUCGAACGGAAAGGCCCUGCUUUUGUGGGGGGCCAGAGUGGCGAACGGGUGAGUAACACGAGAGUAACCUGCCCUUGACUGUGGGAUAACUUCAGGAAACUGGGGCUAAUACCGGAUAGGAGCUCCUGCUGCGUGGAGGGGGUUGGAAAGUUUCGGCGGUUGGGGAUGGACUCGCGGCUUAUCAGCUUGUUGGUGGGGUAGUGGCUUACCAAGGCUUGGACGGGUAGCCGGCCUGAGAGGGUGACCGGCCACAUUGGGACUGAGAUACGGCCCAGACUCCUACGGGAGGCAGCAGUGGGGAAUAUUGCACAAUGGGCGGAAGCCUGAUGCAGCAACGCCGCGUGCGGGAUGACGGCCUUCGGGUUGUAAACCGCUUUCGCCUGUGACGAAGCGUGAGUGACGGUAAUGGGUAAAGAAGCACCGGCUAACUACGUG
rnacentral:rRNA from 1 species